rnacentral:lncRNA from 1 species
GGAAGUGGUCUUCAGAGCAGGCUCUCCAUCAGAUUCUCAGGCUCACCAGCCAGGCUUCUUGGCCUCUGGCCCUCCUCCUUUUGCCUACAUUUCUGGGAGAUUCUCCAGCCAGGCCCAAGGCAGGUCUCCUUAUAUGGUCAAUGCCUCUUGUAAACAAGGGGCCCCUAAAAAUAAGCUGAGGCUGAGCUUGUGGAUAGGUCUCAGCUGUAUAAGCUUCCUUUCUUCUCCCCCUGAACUCAGGCAGACACACCUGGAACUACUGUGGCACCUGGGAUGCUCCUUGCAGCCAAUGCCAGGAGAAUCGUCCUGGAGGCUUGUCUAGAAGAAUACACGCAGAUCACAGAUUCCAAAGCCCUUUAUUGAGCGCUCUGCUCUCCAGCCUGUGGACUAACAUCUCUUUCCAAGUGUGGCAUCCAGACUGGAACCCAGAACUCCCACCAUGACCCUGCCAGUGUGGAGCAGAACGCACCUCCCUAACUUUGGACUGUAUGCCUCUGCCCGUGCCACCCUAAGGAGCACCAGCCUGCCUGUUGGCGCCUUCACGUUGCAGGCUGAUAUUGAGCUUGUUAUCAGUUCAAACUCUAAAUCUUCCCUUAUCUUAUUGCAACAUAGACCUCCUCACCUAUGUCCCUGCGAAUUUGCUUUUUGGACUCAAGGAUGAGACCUGUUUCUAUCAAGGAUGGAAAAUAUGUGCAAUGCCCGUGCCCAUGGACCUUGCUUACAUCCAUGGACCCUCUUAUUUCCACCUUUUCCUCUGAGCCUGAAUAGGCCUCAGAAUCCUUCUCAACAUAAUGCUUCAGUUAGUCAUUACCAGUCGUCUCUCAGAGUUGGUACACAAGGACAAACGCAAUAGCCUUUCUUAUUUUUCAUUGAUUCACAUUAUAUUUUAUAUUUAACCCAUCAUGGCAAAGGAUAAAUCAAGGCAUACUGAGGAUAGAAAACUGGUAUAAUGAUCAACGUAAGAGAGCUUGAUAAAAUUAAUACCACAUGUGUUUAGAGAAUUAGAAGGUUGGUGGCAGCAAAGGUGCGAUAGUUUUUAUUAUUCAAAAAGUCUUCAUUUUCUUUAACACCGAAGGCCUUAUUUUGUGAACAGGUUGUGCCAGAAACCUAAGCAUUUGCAGAAAUCAUGAUUGCAUCUCCCCUCAGUGAUUUAGCUUCUUUCUACUGCCU